rnacentral:rRNA from 1 species
UACGAAGGGGGCAAGCGUUGUUCGGAAUUACUGGGCGUAAAGGGCGCGUAGGCGGUGCACUAAGUCAGGCGUGAAAGCCCUGGGCUCAACCCGGGAAUUGCGCUUGAUACUGGUGCGCUUGAAUCCAGGAGAGGUUGGUGGAAUUCCCAGUGUAGAGGUGAAAUUCGUAGAGAUUGGGAAGAACACCAGUGGCGAAGGCGGCUAUCUGGACGGUUUCUGACACUAAGACGCGAAAGCGUGGGGAGCAAACAGG